UACGUAGGGUGCGAGCGUUGUCCGGAAUUACUGGGCGUAAAGAGCUCGUAGGUGGUUUGUCGCGUUGUUCGUGAAAACUCACAGCUCAACUGUGGGCGUGCGGGCGAUACGGGCAGACUGGAGUACUGCAGGGGAGACUGGAAUUCCUGGUGUAGCGGUGGAAUGCGCAGAUAUCAGGAGGAACACCAAUAGCGAAGGCAGCUCGCUGGGACGUUACUGACACUGAGGCGCGAAAGCGUGGGGAGCGACCAGG
rnacentral:rRNA from 1 species